ACCUAAAACCUAUUGUUUCCAUUGACCAUCGAAAACAUAAGUUUCCUCUUCCCUCAUUUUUGUUUACUGGUAACCCUAAACACCUAGACAACAUGCAGCCACACCCCACAUUUCUCUACUCUCUCUCACAACAAAAAAAUCUGACGACCGGAGUAGAUUCCAGCCGUUAACCGGCGUGGUUCCGACAAGCACCCCCCCCAACCUCCUGCUUUCACCAGAAAUUAACCCCCUCCACCCUCUUAGUUCCGAUGGAGAAAUCAACUGGCCAGCCACCAUGGUGGUGGUGGCACAUGUCGGAGGCAACGAAGAGAGGGAAUCGCGGGAGAUAGAGAGAGUGUGUCGAUAGGGAGAAGGAAGGCACCGACCACCACCGUCUGGUGGUGGCACACAGCGGCGCAACAACAGAGAAGCGAGAGAAUGAGAGAACGCAGCAAGAGAGAGAGACCGAGGAGAGAGGGAUACGACGGUGGUAUGACGGCGGAGGCAGUGGUGCGCAGGAAACAGCGACGACGCCGGCGACGGCGGUACUUGUUCCGACGGGUCUUCAGUCCGGUAAACAUAUCUCCGCUCAUUUCUGUUUCAGAUCAGUAGAUCUGUUACAUUCCUUUAACAUUUUUCCCUCUUGUUUUUUGGUAAUGAUGAGCACGAUGUUGAUGAUGUGAAGAUGACGGUGGUGGUGCGACCCCGACUUCGGGCCAGUGUCGACAGCAGAGGUAGUGAUCUUAUUCAGCUGGUUUUGUUUUGGUUCGGGUCAGUUCAGGACUGUUUAGGUUCGGGUUUCUCUCUAGUCGACACGGUUCCAUCUCGGUUUGGGUUCUGAUCAAACACGGUUCGACUCGGUUCAGAACCGAUCAGAUUUGGUGCGGGUCUCGGCUCAGCUGUGAUUCGGGUUUAGUCAACAGUGCGGUUUGGUGUUCGGUUCAACGCUAGUUAAUCGGUCAAAUUCGGUCAAUCGGUCAAAGUCAGUCAAAGCUCAGUCAACUCCAGACCUGGAAUGUUAUAGUUGCAUGCUAGCCAAUUCACAUUCUUGGAACGACACUAUGGAAUACACACUUAGCUAGCUUUGCACAAGGAUAUCAAGCCGUUCAACUUUGAUUUGAGGUUAUCGGGAGGAUCAUUGACAUGGCUGGAUCAUCAAGUUUCGGUUUUUUGGAUCAGAAAAUGACGACGGAAAUAACAUUAUAAUGCACAACUAAUGAAUUUAGCAGGUUGUAUUGUGCUUUAAAAUCGACUCCAGGACCAGUUUGACCCGUAAAAUGUCGCCCAAAGUUUGAUUCACAUCUUGUAAAUCUUUUAGGUGUGUGUUAAUUUUGUGUGAUUUAUUUAGACAUGAUUUGGAUGUUUAACAUAAAUGUUGGUAUACAACUACUUUCAAAAGAAAUAUUGAUGUGAAUUUUUACGAUUGAGGUAAGGCUUAAAAAGUGCGUAUG